CCGUGCGCCACGACCCUCCUUCCCCUUCUCUCCGUUCGUGCAGCAACCGCCCCAACCGUCCUCUUCUCCUUCCGUUCGUGGCCAGCCGCAGCCCAGCCGCAACCACCACCUCUAUCUUCUUCUUCCCGUCCCGCCGCGAAGCAAGACCGCGCCGCUGCCAGUCCAGAUCUGCGGCGCCGUUGCUCUUCCGCCGCUGCCCAACCGUCUCAGCCGGUUCUGUCUCUGUCGAAGCCACGGUUCUGCAACCGUCUCCGCCGGUUCUGUCUUCGUAAAGCCCUGCCGCGCAACCUCUGUUUCGAGCCGCCGCCCAUUCCGUUCUCCUCUGUUUUCUGCACUGCCGCGCGACUCUCCGACCGCGUCAGAUCGUUGAUCGAUUUUGAGGCAGCCGCCACGUCUCCUUUGGCCGACCGCUGACCGACCCACACUUAGGAUUUUUGCUGCGAGUCCGACAGUCGUGCGUUGAGGUGUGCUGCUGUCUCUGUUUUACAAUUUUAUUGAGGUUGCUUUGUUGGUAACAACUUAAGUAUGAAUGGUAAUUGGUUUCAAACUGGUUCAAGUGUUAUGGUUGGAAUGUUUAGCUAAUUUGUUAAUUGGUUCUUGAAGGUGUUGGGAGUAACGUUGGGCUCCCUUAAAUUCACAACCAAUUUGUGAAUUGUUGAGGGUUCAGUUCGCCAAUAUAUCGGUGAGUUGGAACUUACGUUGAGGAAAGUAAGUGAGAUAUGUAUCGUGGAAGUAAUUGAAUUUUGUGUUGUUGUGCUUAGGAUUGUUUCAAGGAUGUUAGUUGAUUAAGGAGCUUCCCCAACUUUGAGGUAAGGGAUUUUCUACUGGACUCACCUAAAGUUUUUGAGUUGUGUUGGACUGUAUGGAUGAUGAUUAAGAUGUACAUGUUUGAUUGCAGACUAAAUGUUUAGUGUAUGUUGUAUUUGACUGGAACAUAUAUAUAUACAUUGAUGUGUGAAUUGAUGUGGAUUGCCGAAAGUAUACAUGUGAAUGACUGAAAUUAUGCUUAUGUGUACAUGAUGAUAUUAAUAGAUUGUGCUGUAUAAAGAUUGGAUGUGAACUAGUGAAUUUGUUUCGGUUGGAUGUGGAUUAUACUGAACUGUGGUUUGUGCUGGUGAACUGAGGGGUGUAUUGACUUGACUGUAUAGUGGAUUGACUGAUGUAUUAGCAUAUUAUUGACAGACAGAUGAUUGUAGUAAAAUAAGUUGACUGUUAGGAUGUUGAAAGAAAGGACUUUGUGAUUUGAAGUAACCGAAAGAUGGGUUGAAUGGAAUGAGGGGAUAAAUUGUUAGGUUGUAUUGGGAUGUUUACCUUGUAGGUGUCCCACGGGAUCACCAAUUUAUUGUGCACCUUCGGGAGCAUUUGACUGAUAUGUGUUUCUGCAGAACACUAGACUGAUAUGUACGUCCCUCGGGGCGUUAGACUGAUAUGUACGUCCCUCGGGGCGUUAGACUGAUAUGUACGUCCUUCGGGGCGUUAGACUGAAAUGUGUAUCCUACGGGAUCACAAGACUGCGACUGUACAAGGUGUCCCAAUAGAACUUUAACAAUUUAUUUUCCCCUGACGAGACCAGUAGAGGGUCUCUUACUGAGUAUUGUUAUACUCACCCUUCUUAUGUUUAAUUUUCAGGCAAAGGAAAUAAAGGUGGCAAACCGGCGAGGGGCAGGAAGGAAGCGUGAUUGCCAUAGGAAACGUGUUUUUGCUUCCGCUUAUGAUUUCUUUUAAGGUUUAAGAUGUACUAAAACUUAGUUUACAAACUUUUAUUUGUAAAUAGUGUUAUUGUUAAGUUUUCUUGAAUAUUUGAAAAUCAGGCCUGACAUGUUUUGUUUUUAAAUUGACUUAUGUUUCAAUUUGUAUCAACCAAAGUCUUUUGUCAAAAAUUAACGACCUCGACUUACCCAGAAAAGUUGGGUCGUUACAGUCAUAAAUCACUAGAAGUACAUGAAUGUUAUGAUUUAAUGGUGAAGGAUUUAAUGGUGAAAUUUAGGAAAAGUGUUGCCAUGUAGAGGUGUUCAAAGGAGUGGUCGAGUAGUAGAAAAGUAAGACGUUGGUAGCAAAAUUGUCUGUUUUGUGAUUGGAAAUCUAAGAAAAAUAAGUUAUGUAGAUGGUUUUAAAGAGGACUAAAUACACGGUCAAGUUUAUACGAAACACAUUAAAUGGUUUUAGAAUGGAGGUAUUGGAAAAGAAACAAGGAAGAUGAGCAUGGUUGUCUUGAUGUGACUUUAAGAAACAAUUUUGAGUUUCUUGUGAAUGAAAAGUUACUAGUUUGGAGUUUGAAAGUUGGAAUGUAGUUUAACCAUGUAAACAUAAAAUGUUCAGCGAAAAUGUAGUUUCUAAUCCUUCUCCAGAGGCUAGUUUCAAGUACAAAGAGGUUGGAACUAUCGUUUCGCUAAAAGUUAUCCCAGCUAUGAAGGUUAGUAAGUUGCUUGACCAGGGUACCUGUUGUAUUUGACUAGUGUGGUAGACACCAGAGAAGUCGAUGUUUCUUUGUUAUUUGAAUCAGUGGUGAAAAAGUAUUAUGAUAUUUUUCUAGAAGAGUUUCUAAGAUUACCGUGCUAAACAGAAAUUGGUCUUGUUAUUGAGAUAGAGUUAGACUCGUUCCUAUAUCUAAAGCUUCAUACAAAAUGGCACCAACAGAGUUGAAAGAUUUGAAGGUGCAAUUGAAAGAAAUGUUUGACAAGGACUACAUUCGACGAAGUAUGUUAUCUUGGGGUGCACCAAUUUUUGUUUAUUAAGAAGAAAGAUGGGUCGAUGCACUUAUGUUUUGAUUGUAGAAAGUUGAAUAAGGUGUCGGUUAAGAAUAAAUAUCUUUUACCAAUGAAUGAGGAUUUGUUUGAUCAACUGCAAUAAGUCCAUGUUCUUUAAGAUUGAAUUACAUUCAGGUUAUGACUUGUUGAGGAUUAGAGAACAGUGACAUUCCUAAGGCAGAUUUUCGUUCGAGAUAUGGACAUCACGAGUUCAUUAUGAUGUCUUUUGAGUGGCAAAUGCUCAAACAAUGUUUACGACUUGAUGAACAAAGUGUUUAACGAUCUCUUAGACACUUUCAUGAUUGUAUUUAUUGACGAUAUCUUAAUUUAUUCCAAAAUAGAGACAGCGCAUGAGGAGCAUUUAACAUGGUUUUAGAGGCUCUUCGAGUCAACGAAUUGUAUGCAAAGUUUUCAAAAUGUGAGUUUUGGAUGAGGCCAAGUAUCUUUCCAAGCCAUGUGGUAUCUAGAGAUGACAUUUAUGUGGAUCUCACAAAAGAUUGAAGUUUACUAGUUGGCCUCGACUUUCAUAGUCAGUGAGGUUCGUAGUCUUUUGGGUUUAGCAGGUUAUUACUAACGGUUUGUAUAAGAAUUUUCUCGUAUAGCUACUCCUUUGACUCAGUUAACUAAGAAAAGGGACUCCGUUUGUUUGGGACAAAGCCUAUGAGGAUAGUGUUCAGGAUCUUAAGCAGAAGCUUGUACAACUCCCGUGCUUACCGUACAUGAUGGUUCAGAAAGUUUCGUAAUUUAUAGUGAUGCUUUUAGGAAAGUUUAAAAGGUAUUAUGAUUCAACAAGUUAAAGUAGUUGCUUGUACUCCUCGUGAGGAAAAUUGUCCAACUUAUGAUAUGGAAUUGACAGUUGUGGUUUUUACAUUAAUGAUUUGAAGGCACUAUAUGUAUGAUGAAAAGAUAUAGAUAUUUUCUAACCAAAAGAGUAUAAAAUACUUCACUCAAAAGAAGUUGAGUAUGAGAUAGCAAAGAUGGUUUCAGUUAGUAAAUGACUAUGAUUGUGAGAUUUUGUACCAUCUAGGUAAGGCGAAUGUGGAAGUUGGUGCUCUUCGUAGAAAAGUAUCACAUUUUGACAGCACUUAUUACCAGACAGGUUUCAUUAGACAAAAACCACGAGAGAGCUGAGAUUGUAGUUUUAGUGGGGGAAGUCACCUCACAGUUAGCUCAGUUGUCAGUACAUCCGAUCUUGAGACAAAGAAUUCUUGUGGUUCAAUUCAUUGAUCCUUAUUUGAUUGAGAAGCAUCGCCUAGUAGAAGUAGGGCAAGUUAAGGAGUUUUCCAUAUCCUUUGAUGAUGAACUUAUGUUUGAGAGAGAAUUAUGUGUGCCAACAAAAAUUAAGACAAGGUUAUUGGUUGAGACUCAUAGUUUCCCAUUUCUCAUGCAUCCAAGUAGCACAAAAAUGUAUCCGGAUCUGAAAAGAGUUUGUUACUAGCGUAAUAUGAGGAGAGAAAUGGAAGAUCUUGUUAGUAAGUGCUUAGUAUGUCAGCAAGUUAAGGCACCUAGACAUAAACCAGCAGGUUUGUUACAACCUUUAAGUGUGCCAGAGUGGAAGUGGGAGAAUGUGUCGAUGGAUUUUAUUUCAGGGCUGCCUAAGACCCUGAAGGGUUUCACAGUGAUUUGGUUGUCAUAGACAGGCUUAAAUCAACACAUUUUGUACCAGGAAAUCCACUUAUACUGCUAGUAAGUGGGCAGAGUUGUAUUUAACUGAGAUUGUGAGACUGCAUGGAGUGCCUGUAUCGAUUGUUUCUGAUAGGGAUGCACGGUUUACUUCCAAGUUUUGGAAGGGACUUCAGACUGCUAUGGGUACGAGAUUGGAUUUCAGUACAACCUUUCAUCCACAGACUGAUGGUCAAACUGAACGUUUGAACCAAGUUUUAGAGGAUAUGCUACGAGCUUGUGUUCUAGAGUUUCAGGUAGUUGGGACUCUCAUCUACAUUUGAUGGAGUUUGCUUAUAACAACAGUUUCCAGGCUACCAUCGGUAUGGCACCAUUUGAGGCUUUGUAUGGCAAAUGUUGUAGAACCCCUGUUUGUUGGGUGAGGUUGGUGAACAUAGGUUGAUGGGACCUGAAUUAGUUCGGUCUACUAAUGAGGCUAUUCAAAAGAUUAGAGCACGUAUGCAAACAGCGCAGAGUAGACAGAAGAGUUAUGCAGAUGUACGGCGAAAAGACCUUAAGUUCAUGUGGGAGAAAAGGUAUUCUUGAAGGUAGCACCUAUGAAGGGUGUUAUGCGUUUUGAGAAGAAAGGGAAGUUAAGUCCUCGUUUUGUUGGACCAUUUGAGAUCUUAGAGAGGGUUGGUGUUGUGGCGUAUCGCUUGGCAUUACCACCAUCACUCUCUGCAGUUCAUAAUGUUUUCCAUGUUUCGAUGUUGAGGAAGUAUGUGGCCGAUACAUCUCAUGUAGUGGACUAUGAACCCUUGGAGAUUGAUGAGCAUUUGAGCUAUGUAGAACAACCUGUGGAGAUUCUGGCUAGAGAGGUAAAGAUGCUUCGUAAUAGAAGCAUUCCAUUAGUAAAGGUUUUGUGGCGGAAUCAUCGAAUUGAAGAGGCGACAUGGGAGCGAGAGGAAGAGAUGAGGACUCGUUAUCCAGAGUUAUUUCAGGAUUAGAACUUUCGAGGACGAAAGUUUCUUAAGAGGGAAGAAUGUAACGCCCCAAACUUGAAGGUAAAUUAUUUUGAGAGAAUUAUUUCGAUUUGUUCAAGAUUUUUUUUUAAAUAUGUUGAAGGGGAGAAAGAAGAUUUGAAAAUGUAUUAAUAUAAUUAAAUAUAUAUGUAUUUAAUUAUAUUUUUAUUAUUAUAUUUAUUCUAUAUUUUAUUAAAUAAAAGAAAAGAAAAUGAAAAUUUUAAAUAUAUAUAUAUAUAUAUAUAUAUAUAUAUAUAUAUAUAUAUAUAUAUAUAUAUAUAUAUAUAUAUAUAUAUUUUUUAUUAUAAUUAUUUUAUAUAUUUUUUUAAAUAAAAAGAAAAAGAAAAUGAAAAUUUCUUUUUUUUCCCUUUUCUUCUUCCUCCCUGCGCCACGACCCUCCUUCCUCUUCUCUCCGUUCGUGCAGCAACCGCCCAACCGUCCUCUUCUCCUUCCGUUCGUGGCCAGCCGCAGCCCAGCCGCAACCACCACCUCUAUCUUCUUCUUCCCGUCCCGCCGCGAAGCAAGACCGCGCCGCUGCCAGUCCAGAUCUGCGGCGCCGUUGCUCUUCCGCCGCUGCCCAACCGUCUCAGCCGGUUCUGUCUCUGUCGAAGCCACGGUUCUGCAACCGUCUCCGCCG
rnacentral:lncRNA from 1 species